rnacentral:lncRNA from 1 species
UAGAAUCUUCAGCAGGAGUCACGAGCUGGAAUGGCAACACCAGUCCACAUGGUCAAUAGCUGACGCAGGAAUUAGCAGCUUCCGAGCACUCAGAUCAAGCUCUAGAGCUCUAGUUGAAUCCGUGAAGGAUAUGUUAAGCCCUGUAAGCUCUGCUACAAGGAAGCAAAGUCAACACAGCAGGAAUAUUUCCAAAACUACAGAUGCAACAAACAUUACAGAGCAGAAAUUGAGAAGGAAGCCAACCUGGAUUUGGACUUCUUCCGAAGUUCCUAUUAUACCUUAUGCAGGGAGAGUUUUCCUUUCGAGAAAUGUCAGCAAGAUUCUGUAUUGGCUUCAGCUCUUAUCUGCAAUAGCCUGCGUCGUGCUCUCAUUGAUGAAGCUCAUCA